rnacentral:rRNA from 1 species
AGAGUUUGAUCAUGGCUCAGAUUGAACGCUGGCGGUAUGCUUAACACAUGCAAGUCGAACGCGAAAGCACCUUCGGGUGUAAGUAGAGUGGCGGACGGGUGAGUAAGGCAUGGGAAUCUGCCCUAUAGCGGGGGAUAACUUGGGGAAGCCCAAGCUAAUACCGCAUACACCUACGGGUAAAAGAUGGCCUCUUCUUGAAAGCUAUUACUAUAGGAUGAGCCCAUGUAAGAUUAGCUAGUUGGUAGGGUAAAAGCCUACCAAGGCUAUGAUCCUUAGCUGGUCUGAGAGGACGAUCAGCCACACUGGGACUGAGACACGGCCCAGACUCCUACGGGAGGCAGCAGUGGGGAAUAUUGGACAAUGGGGGCAACCCUGAUCCAGCAAUACCGCGUGUGUGAAGAAGGCCUGCGGGUUGUAAAGCACUUUUAUCUGUGAGGAAGGGUUUAAUGUUAAUACCAUUAGACAUGACGUAGCAGAAGAAAGA